AUAUACCUUUCUCUUUCACUCUCUCUCACUCCUCAUCAACCUUUCACCAUCCUCUGCAAAGCUACUCUGCCUCUCUCUCUCUUCGAUAUUCUACCCUAUUCCCAUUUCUCCAUCCUUAUUUGGCCGUAUCACCCAUAUCCCCACAUUUCCCUCCUAUCGUCCCCUUUCCUGGUGUGUGUAUGGGAAGGCUGACGUGAGGGGAAUACGCCAUGAGCCGCAUAUCACCAGUGGUCAUCUCGUUUUUCAGGGCGUUAAGCGGGUGACGUGUUAUUCGGCACGGCUCUGGGGGAAGUAGUGAUAACCGUGAUGUCCCUGCCUGUUCCCCGCCCCAGUGGCCAGUGGCUUGACUCACCGCAGCUUAUUGCCGCCUGUUCUGCUCACCUGUCCAUGUUUGGGUGUGCUCUCCUCGCGCCGAUGAAUGAAGACUCAAACACCUGCCUGCCUGAGUGCCGGGGGAGGAAGCAAGAUAAGGCAAGGAUUUUGUUUUCCAUGUGGAUUAUUGCCAAGGAUACAGAGGCACUUGUUUCUGUACGUAUAUACUUGUGUCAGUCUUUGUUUCCAU